AAGCAAGGCAAUCGAUUCCCUAUGCAGCGUCUGAGCGGGCUCAGGAAUGAGCUCUGGCAGGUGUGAGUGAAGGGAGAAGAUGAGCGCCUCACUCCUGGAGAGACCCAGAAGCCAUGUCCCUGAGCCGUCAGAGCACAGGCAGCGAAAAGUGACGUUGAGACACUGCAUUGGAAAUGGGAGGAGGUGAAAGCUGGCAGACGGAAAGCUGAAAACCCACAGGCUCCUUGCCUGCUUAGCUCCUAGAACGCUGGCAACAAAAUUUAACCCCACUUUGCACCCGGCGCCCGUAGGAUACUGGAGAAUUUUCUUGUGGGGAAACCACCUGACCCAGGAGAAAAGCCCCACAGGCAUUGACAUAUGACCAGGCUGCUACAUGGUCACCCUAAGGAGAGGACCACCAUACAAGAAGGUUCAAUCCUCACCUUCCAUGAUAUGGAAUCAAUUAUUAAUGUCUAAUAUUGAAAAAGAGGCCGGGCAUGGUAGCUCACGCCUGUAAUCCCAGCACUUUGGGAGGCAGAGGUGGGUGAAUUACUUCAGGUCAGGAGUUCAAGACUAGCCUGGCCAACAUGGUGAAACCCCUUCUCUACUAAAAAUAUAAAAAUUAGCCGGGUGUGGUGGCACAUGCCUGUAAUCCCAGCUACUCAGGAGGCUGAGGCAGGAGAAUUGCUUGAACCUGGGAGGUGGUUUGCAGUUAGCUGAGAUCGUGCCGCUGCACUCCAGCCUGGGGGACAGAGUGAGACUCUGUCUCCAAAAAAAAAAAAAAGAAAGAAAGAAAAGAAAAAGAAACCAAUAAGCAGCAGUAUCAGCAUCUUUUUAGAAGUAUGGAGAUAAAUAAUGAAUACACAGCUGGAGACGUAGUUUAGGGGAGGAGAUAACAGAAAUGGGAUUGGGAGGAGGCUCAGGGGCUGCUGCCUUCCAUUGCAAGUCUUCCAAUAUUUGAUUUUGAAAACCAUGUAUUGUGUUUAUUCUUUUAAAAUCCUCCUUCCCCUUGAAAAACAUAAGGCAAAAUCAUGUGAGUAAACCAGUGUCAUCUGGAAAAACAAAUGAGGGCUCAGGAUUGUCCACAAUGGUUACCUGGAGAAAUGAAAGAGUUCUGCGAAAUUCACCAUACUUUCCCUUUGAAAUUGUCUGCUGGGGAUUCCACAGGAGCUUUUUCCAGCGAUGUUUUAAAUCAUCCACUCCUUGCUCACCGAAGAGGUUUUAUUAAACACAUCUUUGUUUUUCGAAGUUGGGUUCUAAGAGCAGCACACCUCCUACAUUUGUGUAUUUGUAUCAGCUGCACAAAUGCCAAGGCCCCAAAUAUACCUUGAACUAAUGCUUCUCAAGCCAACUCUAAUGUGCUCGUGAAUCUUGUUAAAAUGCAGAUUCUGAUCCAGCAGGUCUGCCAGGGGUCUGAGAUUCUCACAAACUCCCAAAAGAUGUGAUGCUUGAUCCGUGGACUAUGGUUUUCAAGGCAAAACCCUAAACUAUCUGUUCAAUGAGAGUUUGCAAUUUGUCAGGUCUCAUAUUUUCAUGUGCUAGCGAAAAAUAGAAGCUUUGUGAUGUCGUAGCUGCUUCACUUACGUAUUUUUUUCUGAUUGGUUAAAGAGUCUCUAGCAUUUUAUUGUUUUCUGUAGUUUUUCUUUCAGUAGAUAAUAGAUGCAUAAGUCUUUUCUGCAUAUGAUCGUACAUCAAUAGGCUGCAGAGAAAAAUGGGAGUGAGAAAGAUAAAAUGGACGGAAACUGCAAUCUGGUAAAUAAAUGCAUUCUCUCAUAAUUUGUAGAAGUGGUGAGAAAUCGGAAGCACGCACAUCAGAAAUAAAAAGAAUUAAUCACGUCAACCUCUGUAUUCUUCUUGGUAAAGCACCAAGUUUUAAACAAUAGUCCUGUUAAAUGAUAUAAAUGGACAUAUAAAUUCGUGAAUAUAAUAAAGUAAAAGGGGAAAAAGGUGGAGGAAAGUGGUUAAAAUAAUCACUGACUAUAAUUAUGCUUUUACUUAAAUAAUAAUUCCUUUUUGGGAAAUACUAUUUUAGACUCUUGUGCAGGCAGAGAUGGUUCCUCUUAGGAUUUCGAUCUGCCCGUGACUGGGAAGCUAGCAAGACGUCUUUGCAACCUCCCUUGCUCCCUUCUCCCUUCUUGGCGAAAGUCACCCCUGGCUAUGGGCCCUGAUGAUGCUCUUGACCAGCAUUGAAUACUGGGGAAAAUGAGCUACUCCCAACUCACACGCACACACCACCAUCACCGCCAUCACCACCGUCAGCAGUAACAACAAUAAAGUUAGGCCAGGUGCGGUGGCUCACGCCUGUAAUCCCAGCACUUUGGGAGGCCAAGGCGGGUGGAUCACGAG
rnacentral:lncRNA from 1 species